rnacentral:rRNA from 1 species
ACGAACGCUGGCGGCGUGCUUAACACAUGCAAGUCGAACGGAAAGGCCCUGCUUUUGUGGGGUGCUCGCGUGGCGAACGGGUGAGUAACACGUGAGUAACCUGCCCUUGACUUUGGGAUAACUUCAGGAAACUGGGGCUAAUACCGGAUAGGAGCUCCUGCUGCAUGGUGGGGGUUGAAAGGUUCGGCGGGUGGGGAUGGACUCGCGGCUUAUCAGCUUGUUGGUGGGGUAGUGGCUUACCAAGGCUUUGACGGGUAGCCGGCCUGAGAGGGUGACCGGCCACAUUGGGACUGAGAUACGGCCCAGACUCCUACGGGAGGCAGCAGUGGGGAAUAUUGCACAAUGGGCGGAAGCCUGAUGCAGCAACGCCGCGUGCGGGAUGACGGCCUUCGGGUUGUAAACCGCUUUCGCCUGUGACGAAGCGUGAGUGACGGUAAUGGGUAAAGAAGCACCGGCUAACUACGUG